rnacentral:misc_RNA from 1 species
UACGUAGGUGGCAAGCGUUAUCCGGAAUUAUUGGGCGUAAAGCGCUCGCAGGCGGUCCUUUAAGUCUGAUGUGAAAGCCCACGGCUCAACCGUGGAGGGUCAUUGGAAACUGGGGGACUUGAGUGCAGAAGAGGAGAGUGGAAUUCCACGUGUAGCGGUGAAAUGCGUAGAGAUGUGGAGGAACACCAGUGGCGAAGGCGACUUUCUGGCCUACAACUGACGCUGAGGCGCGAAAGCGUGGGGAGCAAACAGG